rnacentral:rRNA from 1 species
GAUGAACGCUGGCGGCGUGCCUAAUACAUGCAAGUCGAGCGAACAGAUGAGGAGCUUGCUCCUCUGACGUUAGCGGCGGACGGGUGAGUAACACGUGGAUAACCUACCUAUAAGACUGGGAUAACUUCGGGAAACCGGAGCUAAUACCGGAUAAUAUAUUGAACCGCAUGGUUCAAUAGUGAAAGACGGUUUUGCUGUCACUUAUAGAUGGAUCCGCGCCGCAUUAGCUAGUUGGUAAGGUAACGGCUUACCAAGGCAACGAUGCGUAGCCGACCUGAGAGGGAGAUCGGCCACACUGGAACUGAGACACGGUCCAGACUCCUACGGGAGGCAGCAGUAGGGAAUCUUCCGCAAUGGGCGAAAGCCUGACGGAGCAACGCCGCGUGAGUGAUGAAGGACUUCGGAUCGUAAAACGCUGUUAUUAGGGAAGAACAAAUGUGUAAGUAACUAUGCACGUCUUGACGGUACCUAAUCAGAAAGCCACGGCUAACUACGUG